AUUUGCAUGGAAAAUUCAGAGGGAUAUGGCAGAGCGCGGUCACAGCCUUGAAAGCAUCAAGGCUAGUAUCGAAGCCAGGAAACCAGAUUUUGAUGCCUUCAUUGAUCCCCAGAAGCAAUAUGCUGAUGCAGUGAUUGAAGUUCUGCCAACCCAGCUUAUUCCUGAUGACAAUGAAGGAAAGGUGCUACGUGUUAAAUUGAUCAUGAAAGAAGGUGUAAAGAACUUCAACCCAGUUUACCUCUUCGACGAAGGAUCAAGCAUCACCUGGGUCCCUUGUGGAAGAAAACUCACAUGUUCUUAUCCUGGCAUCAAAUUUGCCUAUGGCCCAGACACUUACUUUGGGCAUGAGGUAUCAGUGCUGGAGAUGGAUGGCCAAUUUGACA
rnacentral:misc_RNA from 1 species